rnacentral:rRNA from 1 species
CGCAGCCGCGGUAACUCCAGCUCCAAUAGCGUAUAUUAAAGUUGUUGCAGUUAAAAAGCUCGUAGUUGAAUUUCGGGGUCAGUAGGUUGGUCGUGCCACUGGUAUGUACUGGCCUUACUGAUUCCUCCUUCCUGAUGAACCGUAAUGCCAUUAAUUUGGUGUUGCGGGGAAUCUGGACUGUUACUUUGAAAAAAUUAGAGUGUUUAAAGCAGGCUAACGCUUGAAUACAUUAGCAUGGAAUAAUGGAAUAGGACGUUCGAUCCUAUUUUGUUGGUUUCUAGGAUUGACGUAAUGAUUAAUAGGGAUAGUUGGGGGCAUUAGUAUUCAAUUGUCAGAGGUGAAAUUCUUGGAUUUAUUGAAGACUAACUACUGCGAAAGCAUUUGCCAAGGAUGUUUUCAUUAAUCAAGAACGAAAGUUAGGGAUCGAAGACGAUCAGAUACCGUCGUAGUCUUAACCAUAAACUAUGCCGACUAAGGAUCGGACGAUGUUAAUUUUUAAUGUACUCGUUCGCGCCUUACG